AGAGUUUGAUCAUGGCUCAGGAUGAACGCUGGCGGCGUGCUUAACACAUGCAAGUCGAGCGAAGCACUCUGACUUCUUCGGAAUGAUGAGUGACUGAGCGGCGGACGGGUGAGUAACGCGUGGGUAACCUGCCUCACACAGGGGGAUAACAGUUAGAAAUGACUGCUAAUACCGCAUAAGACCACAGCACCGCAUGGUGCAGGGGUAAAAACUCCGGUGGUGUGAGAUGGACCCGCGUCUGAUUAGCUAGUUGGUGAGGUAACGGCUCACCAAGGCGACGAUCAGUAGCCGACCUGAGAGGGUGACCGGCCACAUUGGGACUGAGACACGGCCCAAACUCCUACGGGAGGCAGCAGUGGGGAAUAUUGCACAAUGGGCGAAAGCCUGAUGCAGCGACGCCGCGUGAAGGAUGAAGUAUUUCGGUAUGUAAACUUCUAUCAGCAGGGAAGAAAAUGACGGUACCUGACUAAGAAGCCCCGGCUAACUACGUGCCAGCAGCCGCGGUAAUACGUAGGGGGCAAGCGUUAUCCGGAUUUACUGGGUGUAAAGGGAGCGUAGACGGCUUUGCAAGUCUGAAGUGAAAGGCAUGGGCUCAACCUGUGGACUGCUUUGGAAACUGUGAAGCUAGAAUGUCGGAGAGGCAAGGGGAAUUCCUAGUGUAGCGGUGAAAUGCGUAGAUAUUAGGAGGAACACCAGUGGCGAAGGCGCCUUGCUGGACGAUGAUUGACGUUGAGGCUCGAAAGCGUGGGGAGCAAACAGGAUUAGAUACCCUGGUAGUCCACGCCGUAAACGAUGAUCACUAGGUGUCGGGGAGCAAAGCUCUUCGGUGCCGCAGCUAACGCAAUAAGUGAUCCACCUGGGGAGUACGUUCGCAAGAAUGAAACUCAAGGAAUUGACGGG
rnacentral:rRNA from 1 species